rnacentral:rRNA from 1 species
GAUGUAGAGCGGUUGCUGCGGCGGCGUGAUGUAGAGCGGCAGCUGCGGCGGCGUGAUGUAGAGCGGCAGCUGCGGCCGUUGGGAUCGCGGCAGCGCCGAGUGGAGGUAUGAGCGGCGGGGCGGUUCGUGGUGGCCGGGGUAGGGGACGUAGUGGGCGACGGGGAACGUAGGGGGUAGGUCCGGAGCUGCGUCGUGGCGGCGGGGACUUAGGGCAUGAGUACGACAGUGGGUUAGGGGUAGCUAUUGAGGUUUGUAGACGUGAAGGCUGCGUGCGGGGCGAGUAGGCGUAGGCGCAGCGUGGGCGUAGGGGUAGGUCUCGGCGGCGGCGUAGACCAGGUUUGGCUCGUCGUCCCGUUGGCCGCCGGUCUAGGUGGUACCACGAAGGUCUAGGUGCCACGAGUUCGGUACCUCGAGUAGGUCUUCAAGCACGAUGACGACGUCUUCUUGAGUCGUAUGGGUAUCUCCCUGGACUGCCUCCUCCUCCUCCUCUUUCUCGAGAAGUACCGUGCGGCGUACCGAGUCGGGGUGAUAGCCGCGAUGAGGUUGGGAUCAUAUGCCCUGUUCCUGGCGAGGGGAGAGAGCUAAACGAGAGGAAAGGAUAUGCGCGAAGUAGUUGUGGUGCCGGUUCGGUCGGGAGUUCGUUUCUAACUGUUGACAAUUCCACCUUUGACGUCUUAGUAUAAACGCGUGUUACCUUUUUCAACCCUAGCACUAACUAUACGUCCAUGUGUGCUCUGUAGGUUGUAGUGGUCGCUCCAACGACCCGUGUUCAAACCGAUCGGUUCGUCGAGACGAUCGAGGCUGCGAUGCGAGUGAAUUUUGUGGAGGGAACAAACCAAGACCCCCUCCUCCGUUCGGAGACGAGAGUACGAGAAACACGAGUACCGGUAACUCGGUACGGUUUUAUAUGACGAAACCGAACACCACUGUGGAGAAAGGUAAAACGUUUAUACAUUUGAGGGGGACAUCGUAAUGGAAAGUUCAGUAGCACUACAAGUAAACCACCAUAAAGGUUCGAUUUGUACAAUAUUCCAAUCGGUAGUUACAACUUAAGUUUAUGUGUACCGAUAUGUAUAGCACUAGACUUACUAGAGAGGAAUUAGACCCAACGGAAGAGGAGUGUACGUAUCAACCAGACAAAUUUACUUCGAAGAGCCGUCGAUGUACAGAACAAUUUUUCACUAAAAUUUUAUAUUUAUCUUCUAUCUUUGAUCUCUCUCCCCUCUAAACCUCACUAUAGGUGACAUUUUUUCCCCCCCAAUACAAGGUAUAAACAGAAUAAGAGAGUAUUACGAACAACCGAUAUGUGAACUCAUCUUAAUGCUCAAUGACAGCCUCAAUCCCAGUCAAACCAAACGUAGGUGUGGAUAUAUACGGACCGGACCUAUCACGGACCUCAACCGGACCAUCAACAAACCAAACACGGACCCUUUCUUUUAUGAACGGACCGGACCAAUACACUAAUCGGACCACUUUUAUUUUUUUAAUAUCUUUUACGGGUCCGUCUCACUAAUCGGACCAGGUCCGCAAGCCAAAGCAAGCGGACCUGCCCGGCGUCGGAGCGGACCGUGAUUAUUUCCUGUGUCCUCCAUGUCAGGUGACAAAUUUUUUCCAAAAGAUUAGUGUUUUCCUGUUUCGUCGUCCGAUCCCAUCUUUGGUUUGUGUGGCGACGCACCGAUCGGACCCGUCCGUCUUUUGAAGUUGAAAGGUCCGCGUACGGUCCGUGGUUUUUUAAAGUCCGUCCCUAGGGUCCCACGUUUGGUUUGACUGGGAAUUAGUUACAUAACUCAAUUAAAAGAUACUCUACAGGUCGUGAUGAGAGAUAUCAUCAUAUCUUGGACUCAACUUAGGAAGAGGGACCUUUACACUCCUGGUACGGCUUACAAGAGCCCGCUAGAUAACGAACCGGAGCAUCUAUAUACCUCUAAAUAGUGUUCCAAUACGUCUUCGUUGGUACUUUCGGCCAUCAUCAGGGGUGUAGAUGUGCCGUAACGUCUAACAAUCUUCCAACAUAGGUGUUCAAAGUUCUCCGUACAAAACACUCAACUUGCCUAGAAGAUGAUCGUAUACAAAGAUUGAUUUUGAUCUAGGGAAUAAAACGUGAAAACGGACACUACAUUAUCACCAGAAUUCUUACAUGCAUACAUACGGAUACACAUGUACAUCUGUAAGACCUACCAACACGAAAACCGAUAGGACAUUACGACCUGCACAUACGGAUACACACGUACAUCCGUCCGCUACCUCGAAACAAGAAAACCAACAGGGCAUCAUGAUGACCUGAUCGAACACUUGGAAACAUACGUACUACCUAACGAAUAUAUAUGAUAUAACCAUG